rnacentral:rRNA from 1 species
UACGUAGGGCGCAAGCGUUAUCCGGAAUUAUUGGGCGUAAAGAGCUCGUAGGCGGUUUGUCGCGUCUGCCGUGAAAGUCCGGGGCUCAACUCCGGAUCUGCGGUGGGUACGGGCAGACUAGAGUGAUGUAGGGGAGACUGGAAGUCCUGGUGUAGCGGUGAAAUGCGCAGAUAUCAGGAGGAACACCGGUGGCGAAGGCGGGUCUCUGGGCCGAUACUGACGCUGAGGAGCGAAAGCGUGGGGAGCGAACAGG